AUGGCCCUGAAUCAAGGCCGGCAGCUUCCUGACACUGUUGGUUUCAAGCAGGAGCCCAAAGAGAUGUCUUUUGAUGGUCUACUGGCCAUUUCAGAACUUGGGCAGUGAAAUGGUCAAUUCAUUAGAAAGAAACAGUU
ensembl:snoRNA small nucleolar RNA SNORA2/SNORA34 family